UACGUAGGAUGCGAGCGUUGUCCGGAGUUACUGGGCGUAAAGCGUGUGCAGGCGGCGUCUUGCGUCUGAGGUGAAAUCUCCCGGCUUAACUGGGAGGGGCCUUGGAUACGGGGGCGCUUGAGGGCUGGAGAGGGAAGUAGAACUCCCGGUGGACCAGUGAAAUGGGUAGAGAUCGGGAAGAAUACCCGAGGUGAAGACGACUUCCUGGCCAGUACCUGACGCUCAACACGAAAGCGUGGGGAGCAAACAGG
rnacentral:rRNA from 1 species